CUAAGUUUGAUGGCGACCGGCGCACGGGUGAGUAACACGUAUCCAACCUGCCGAUAACUCUGGAAUAGCCUUUCGAAAGAAAGAUUAAUACCGGAUAGUAUACGAAUAUCGCAUGAUAUUUUUAUUAAAGAAUUUCGGUUAUCGAUGGGGAUGCGUUCCAUUAGUUUGUUGGCGGGGUAACGGCCCACCAAGACUACGAUGGAUAGGGGUUCUGAGAGGAAGGUCCCCCACAUUGGAACUGAGACACGGUCCAAACUCCUACGGGAGGCAGCAUG
rnacentral:rRNA from 1 species